CCGGUGAAAAAAUCUGAAAGUAUGCUUUGAUGCGCCCAAGUUUUCCUGAAGCUUAGCAGAACGUGUAGUUCUAUCGCGUCCUGCUGCGAGUCUGAACGGGAGUCACCGGGAGUACUGUGUCUUGCCGAAAAUCCUCGCCGGUAAAAUAGGCACCUUUUUAGGUGCAGUGACUUGGGACGUCUUUAACGGAUAAUCGAAUCUCCGACCUCGGAUCAACUAACUU
rnacentral:lncRNA from 1 species